rnacentral:rRNA from 1 species
AUUGAACGCUGGCGGCAGGCCUAACACAUACAAGUCGAGCGGAUGAAGGGAGCUUGCUCCUGGAUUCAGCGGCGGACGGGUGAGUAAUGCCUAGGAAUCUGCCUGGUAGUGGGGGAUAACGUCCGGAAACGGGCGCUAAUACCGCAUACGUCCUGAGGGCGAACGUGGGGGAUCUUCGGACCUCACGCUAUCAGAUGAGCCUAGGUCGGAUUAGCUAGUUGGUGGGGUAAAGGCCUACCAAGGCGACGAUCCGUAACUGGUCUGAGAGGAUGAUCAGUCACACUGGAACUGAGACACGGUCCAGACUCCUACGGGAGGCAGCAGUGGGGAAUAUUGGACAAUGGGCGAAAGCCUGAUCCAGCCAUGCCGCGUGUGUGAAGAAGGUCUUCGGAUUGUAAAGCACUUUAAGUUGGGAGGAAGGGCAGUAAGUUAAUACCUUGCUGUUUUGACGUUACCAACAGAAUAAGCACCGGCUAACUUCGUG